GCGGAAGAGAGAAGGGUGGGGGAGGACGGUAAAAGCUUGAUGCUGCAUUUCGUUGGCUGUCCUGGGCGCAUGGCUGUUUGGGAAGCGUGCUGCCACAGGAGAAGCUUGGGGCGCGUGUGCGCCGGGGUCACGCAGAGCAAUGAGGGUUAAGUGACUUGCCCAGGGUCACACAGUUCGUGUCAAGUGUCUGAGGUUGAAUUUGAACUCAGGUCCUCCUGAAUCCAGGGCUGGUGCUUUAUCUACUUCACCACCUAGCUGUACCUGCUACCAUUUUCAAAGAAAAAGCAGCACUACCUGAUUCCUUCAGUCAUGCCAAGUAGUUUCUUUCCUUGGAAGAGUUUAUGAUCUGAUAGAGACAGGAUUAUUGCAAUGUAUGAAGUGUUUUGGGAGGACUACAACCUGUGCUUUUCAGGUAUGGCAAGUAGCUUCUUGUGAAGAGUGGGAGGACAGCACCCUUUUUCCCACCCUGGCAGCAUAUUGGCAUCUAGAACAGGAAUUCUGCUAGUUCUCCAGCAUCCUUCUGUCCUCGAAGAAUCCAUCUGCCAAUAACAUCUUUUCUUCGCUCUUCUUUGAAUUUUGUCAGAAAUACAUUACAAAAUAUAUAACCUGUAGAUUUGUAAUCAGGUCCUUUA